GAGUUUGAUCUUGGCUCAGGAUGAACGCUGGCGGCGUGCCUAAUACAUGCAAGUCGAGCGAACGGACGAGAAGCUUGCUUCUCUGAUGUUAGCGGCGGACGGGUGAGUAACACGUGGGUAACCUACCUAUAAGACUGGGAUAACUCCGGGAAACCGGGGCUAAUACCGGAUAACACAUGAAACCGCAUGGUUUCAUGAUGAAAGACGGUCUUGCUGUCACUUAUAGAUGGAUCCGCGCUGCAUUAGCUAGUUGGUAAGGUAACGGCUUACCAAGGCAACGAUGCAUAGCCGACCUGAGAGGGUGAUCGGCCACACUGGAACUGAGACACGGUCCAGACUCCUACGGGAGGCAGCAGUAGGGAAUCUUCCGCAAUGGGCGGAAGCCUGACGGAGCAACGCCGCGUGAGUGAUGAAGGUCUUCGGAUCGUAAAACUCUGUUAUUAGGGAGAACAUAUGUGUAGUAACUGUGCACAUCUUGACGGUACCUAAUCAGAAAGCCACGGCUAACUACG
rnacentral:rRNA from 1 species